AGUGAACGCUGGCGGUAGGCCUAACACAUGCAAGUCGAACGGCAGCACAGUAAGAGCUUGCUCUUACGGGUGGCGAGUGGCGGACGGGUGAGGAAUACAUCGGAAUCUACUUUUUCGUGGGGGAUAACGUAGGGAAACUUACGCUAAUACCGCAUACGACCUACGGGUGAAAGCAGGGGUUCUUCGGACCUUGCGCGAUUGAAUGAGCCGAUGUCGGAUUAGCUAGUUGGCGGGGUAAAGGCCCACCAAGGCGACGAUCCGUAGCUGGUCUGAGAGGAUGAUCAGCCACACUGGAACUGAGACACGGUCCAGACUCCUACGGGAGGCAGCAGUGGGGAAUAUUGGACAAUGGGCGAAAGCCUGAUCCAGCCAUACCGCGUGGGUGAAGAAGGCCUUCGGGUUGUAAAGCCCUUUUGUUGGGAAAGAAAAGCAGCAGGUUAAUACCCCGCUGUUCUGACGGUACCCAAAGAAUAAGCACCGGCUAACUUCGUG
rnacentral:rRNA from 1 species